rnacentral:rRNA from 1 species
AUUGAACGCUGGCGGCAUGCCUUACACAUGCAAGUCGAACGGCAGCACGGGAGCAAUCCUGGUGGCGAGUGGCGAACGGGUGAGUAAUAUAUCGGAACGUGCCCAGUCGUGGGGGAUAACGCAGCGAAAGCUGUGCUAAUACCGCAUACGAUCUAAGGAUGAAAGCGGGGGAUCGCAAGACCUCGCGCGAUUGGAGCGGCCGAUAUCAGAUUAGCUAGUUGGUGGGGUAAAGGCCCAACAAGGCGACGAUCUGUAGCUGGUCUGAGAGGACGACCAGCCACACUGGAACUGAGACACGGUCCAGACUCCUACGGGAGGCAGCAGUGGGGAAUUUUGGACAAUGGGCGCAAGCCUGAUCCAGCAAUGCCGCGUGCAGGAUAAAGGCCUUCGGGUUGUAAACUGCUUUUGUACGGAACGAAACGGCCCUUUCUAAUACAGGGGGCUAAUGACGGUACCGUAAGAAUAAGCACCGGCUAACUACGUGCCAGCCGCCGCUGUAACAC